UUACAUUCUACUGGACCUUUAAAUCGUGG
rnacentral:piRNA from 2 species